rnacentral:rRNA from 1 species
AUUGAACGCUGGCGGCAUGCCUUACACAUGCAAGUCGAACGGUAACAGGUUAAGCUGACGAGUGGCGAACGGGUGAGUAAUACAUCGGAACGUGCCCAGACGUGGGGGAUAGCUCGGCGAAAGCCGGAUUAAUACCGCAUAAGCUCUGAGGAGGAAAGCGGGGGACCGUAAGGCCUCGCGCGUUUGGAGCGGCCGAUGGCAGAUUAGGGAGUUGGUGGGGUAAAGGCUUACCAAGCCUACGAUCUGUAGCUGGUCUGAGAGGACGACCAGCCACACUGGGACUGAGACACGGCCCAGACUCCUACGGGAGGCAGCAGUGGGGAAUUUUGGACAAUGGGCGCAAGCCUGAUCCAGCAAUGCCGCGUGCAGGAUGAAGGCCUUCGGGUUGUAAACUGCUUUUGUACGGAACGAAAAGGCGCCUACUAAUACUGGGUGUUGAUGACGGUACCGUAGGAAUAAGCACCGGCUAACUACGUGCCAGCCGCCGCUGUAAAAC